rnacentral:rRNA from 1 species
CAGCAGCCGCGGGAAUACGGAGGGCGCGAGCGUUACCCGGAUUUACUGGGCGUAAAGGGCGUGUAGGCGGCCUGGGGCGUCCCAUGUGAAAGGCCACGGCUCAACCGUGGAGGAGCGUGGGAUACGCUCAGGCUAGAGGGUGGGAGAGGGUGGUGGAAUUCCCGGAGUAGCGGUGAAAUGCGCAGAUACCGGGAGGAACGCCGAUGGCGAAGGCAGCCACCUGGUCCACUUCUGACGCUGAGGCGCGAAAGCGUGGGGAGCAAACCGGAUUAGAUACCCGAGUAGUCCCUGUCUCUUAUAC